UACCUGCAGCUCGAGUGGUAGCCGCUAUUAUUGGGCCUAAAGCGUCCGUAGCCGGUUUGGUAAAUAUCUGGGUAAAUCGUGAGGCUUAACUUCACGAAUUUCGGAUAGACUGCCAGACUUGGGAUCGGGGGAGGUCAGAGGUACUCCAGGGGUAGCGGUGAAAUGUUGUAAUCCUUGGAGGACCACCGGUAGCGAAGGCGUCUGACUAGAACGAGUCCGACGGUGAGGGACGAAGCCCUGGGGCGCAAACCGGAUUAGAUACCCGGGUAGUCCAGGGUGUAAACAAUGUGGGCUUUGUAUUGGAGGUCCCACGUGGGCGUCCAGUGCAGAAGAGAAGUUGUUAAGCCCACCGCCUGGGAAGUACGGUCGCAAGGCUGAAACUUAAAGGAAUUGGCGGGGAGCACAGCAACGGGAGGGCGUGCGGUUU
rnacentral:rRNA from 1 species